rnacentral:rRNA from 1 species
GACGAACGCUGGCGGCGUGCUUAACACAUGCAAGUCGAACGGAAAGGCCCUGCUUUUGUGGGGUGCUCGAGUGGCGAACGGGUGAGUAACACGUGAGUAACCUGCCCUUGACUUUGGGAUAACUUCAGGAAACUGGGGCUAAUACCGGAUAGGAGCUCCUGCUGCAUGGUGGGGGUUGGAAAGUUUCGGCGGUUGGGGAUGGACUCGCGGCUUAUCAGCUUGUUGGUGGGGUAGUGGCUUACCAAGGCUUUGACGGGUAGCCGGCCUGAGAGGGUGACCGGCCACAUUGGGACUGAGAUACGGCCCAGACUCCUACGGGAGGCAGCAGUGGGGAAUAUUGCACAAUGGGCGGAAGCCUGAUGCAGCAACGCCGCGUGCGGGAUGACGGCCUUCGGGUUGUAAACCGCUUUCGCCUGUGACGAAGCGUGAGUGACGGUAAUGGGUAAAGAAGCUCCGGCUAACUACGU